GGGCAACCCUGGUGGCGAGUGGCGAACGGGUGAGUAAUGCAUCGGAACGUGCCCAUUGAUGGGGGAUAACUGCGCGAAAGCGUUGCUAAUACCGCAUACGACCUACGGGUGAAAGCAGGGGACCGCAAGGCCUUGCGUCGAUGGAGCGGCCGAUGUCGGAUUAGCUUGUUGGUGAGGUAAAGGCUCACCAAGGCCACGAUCCGUAGCUGGUCUGAGAGGACGACCAGCCACACUGGGACUGAGACACGGCCCAGACUCCUACGGGAGGCAGCAGUGGGGAAUCUUGGACAAUGGGCGAAAGCCUGAUCCAGCAAUGCCGCGUGUGGGAAGAAGGCCUUCGGGUUGUAAACCACUUUUGGCAGGAAAGAAAUCGUUUGCGAUAAUACCGCGAAUGGAUGACGGUACCUGCAGAAUAAGCACCGGCUAACUACGUGCCAGCAGCCGCGGUAAUACGUAGGGUGCGAGCGUUAAUCGGAAUUACUGGGCGUAAAGCGUGCGCAGGCGGUUGGAAAAGACAGAUGUGAAAUCCCUGGGCUCAACCUAGGAAUUGCAUUUAUGACUAUCCGAC
rnacentral:rRNA from 1 species